rnacentral:rRNA from 1 species
CCUACGGGAGGCAGCAGUGGGGGAUAUUGCACAAUGGGCGAAAGCCUGAUGCAGCGACGCCGCGUGAGGGAAGACGGUCUUCGGAUUGUAAACCUCUGUCUUUGGGGAAAAAGAUGACUGUACCCAAAGAGGAAGCUCCGGCUAACUACGUGCCAGCAGCCGCGGUAAUACGUAGGGAGCGAGCGUUGUCCGGAAUUACUGGGUGUAACGGGGACGUAGGCGGGGAUGCAAGUUGGUUGUUUAAACUAUCGGCUCAACCGGUAAUUGCAACCAAAACUGCAAGUCUUGAGUGCAGUAGAGGCAGGCGGAAUUCCUAGUGUAGCGGUGAAAUGCGUAGAUAUUAGGAGGAACACCAGUGGCGAAGGCGAUUCUCUGGACUGUAACUGACGCUGAGGCUCGAAAGCGUGGGGAGCAAACAGGAUUAGAUACCCGUGUAGUC